rnacentral:lncRNA from 1 species
UUAGGUACAUGUCAUACUUAAAUGAAAACGAAAUAUAAAAACUUUUCUAAGUCGGGGAUCGUCCUUUAAAUGCUAAAAUCUACUUAUUGCUUGUUCGAAAAUCUUCUAAAUCUGUGCACGAAGAAAACAAACCGUACACUGAGCAAAACGCUUAGUGGUAAAUCGAUGACUCAAGUUAACAUAAAUAAGAUUAUGCAAAUACACACAUCUAAAUCAUGAUCAAUUCCUAUUCAAUCUCAUGCCAUUUAUAUCAAACACUUCAAUUUCAAAUAGUCAUGCUUAUACCAAUCUUAAUUGCCUACACUAUUCAUCACUUAGGUGAUUAAUGUAACAACCUGUUUUCAGUGGUGUUGGAAAUAAUGGUUUUGAGACCACAAUUUUG